UACAGAGGGUGCAAGCGUUAAUCGGAAUUACUGGGCGUAAAGCGUGCGCAGAUGGUUACGUAAGUCGGGUGUGAAAGCCCCGGGCUCAACCCGGGAAGUGCACUCGAUACUGCCACGCUAGAGUAUCGGAGAGGUUGGUGGAAUUCUCGGUGUAGAGGUGAAAUUCGUAGAUAUCGAGAGGAACACCGGUGGCGAAGGCGGCCAACUGGACGAAUACUGACGCUGAGACUCGAAAGCGUGGGGAGCAAACAGG
rnacentral:rRNA from 1 species